UUUUAUGGAGAGUUUGAUCCUGGCUCAGGAUGAACGCUGGCGGCGUGCCUAAUACAUGCAAGUCGAGCGAACGUACGAGAAGCUUGCUUCUCUGAUGUUAGCGGCGGACGGGUGAGUAACACGUGGAUAACCUACCUAUAAGACUGGGAUAACUUCGGGAAACCGGAGCUAAUACCGGAUAAUAUUUUGAACCGCAUGGUUCAAAAGUGAAAGACGGUCUUGCUGUCACUUAUAGAUGGAUCCGCGCUGCAUUAGCUAGUUGGUAAGGUAACGGCUUACCAAGGCAACGAUGCAUAGCCGACCUGAGAGGGUGAUCGGCCACACUGGAACUGAGACACGGUCCAGACUCCUACGGGAGGCAGCAGUAGGGAAUCUUCCGCAAUGGGCGAAAGCCUGACGGAGCAACGCCGCGUGAGUGAUGAAGGUCUUCGGAUCGUAAAACUCUGUUAUUAGGGAAGAACAUAUGUGUAAGUAACUGUGCACAUCUUGACGGUACCUAAUCAGAAAGCCACGGCUAACUACGUGCCAGCAGCCGCGGUAAUACGUAGGUGGCAAGCGUUAUCCGGAAUUAUUGGGCGUAAAGCGCGCGUAGGCGGUUUUUUAAGUCUGAUGUGAAAGCCCACGGCUCAACCGUGGAGGGUCAUUGGAAACUGGAAAACUUGAGUGCAGAAGAGGAAAGUGGAAUUCCAUGUGUAGCGGUGAAAUGCGCAGAGAUAUGGAGGAACACCAGUGGCGAAGGCGACUUUCUGGUCUGUAACUGACGCUGAUGUGCGAAAGCGUGGGGAUCAAACAGGAUUAGAUACCCUGGUAGUCCACGCCGUAAACGAUGAGUGCUAAGUGUUAGGGGGUUUCCGCCCCUUAGUGCUGCAGCUAACGCAUUAAGCACUCCGCCUGGGGAGUACGACCGCAAGGUUGAAACUCAAAGGAAUUGACGGGGACCCGCACAAGCGGUGGAGCAUGUGGUUUAAUUCGAAGCAACGCGAAGAACCUUACCAAAUCUUGACAUCCUUUGACAACUCUAGAGAUAGAGCCUUCCCCUUCGGGGGACAAAGUGACAGGUGGUGCAUGGUUGUCGUCAGCUCGUGUCGUGAGAUGUUGGGUUAAGUCCCGCAACGAGCGCAACCCUUAAGCUUAGUUGCCAUCAUUAAGUUGGGCACUCUAAGUUGACUGCCGGUGACAAACCGGAGGAAGGUGGGGAUGACGUCAAAUCAUCAUGCCCCUUAUGAUUUGGGCUACACACGUGCUACAAUGGACAAUACAAAGGGCAGCGAAACCGCGAGGUCAAGCAAAUCCCAUAAAGUUGUUCUCAGUUCGGAUUGUAGUCUGCAACUCGACUACAUGAAGCUGGAAUCGCUAGUAAUCGUAGAUCAGCAUGCUACGGUGAAUACGUUCCCGGGUCUUGUACACACCGCCCGUCACACCACGAGAGUUUGUAACACCCGAAGCCGGUGGAGUAACCUUUUAGGAGCUAUCCGUCGAAGGUGGGACAAAUGAUUGGGGUGAAGUCGUAACAAGGUAGCCGUAUCGGAAGGUGCGGCUGGAUCACCUCCUUUCUAA
rnacentral:rRNA from 1 species